UGUCGGUCGAGUCGCUCUCUGAGGGUGGAUCCCGAAGGGCUGUGGCGAUGCGUAGGACUUAAAAAGGUCCGCAUGUCCUCCAUCAACAACACGUCUCUAAAGCGUCCUGUCCUUGCCGGCGUGGUCAUGGGAGGAGGAGGAUGACUUCCACCUCUCCCCCUGUUAGAUUCCCGUUGUGCUGUGACAUCACCCUUAUACGCUGUGUAAAGCAUACUUUUAAAUUUAUUUUGCAAAUGCUGCAUCCUUUCAUACUUGUUGUAAUUCGGUAACAUUUCCGCCACUUUCUGCUUAUACCGGGGGUCUAGUAGCGUGGACACCCAGUACAGGUCGUUCUCCUUCAGCCUUUUUAUACGAGGGUCCCUCAACAGGCACGACAGCAUGAAAGACCCCAUUUGCACAAGGUUGGAUGCCGAGCUACUCAUUUCCCG